rnacentral:tRNA from 1 species
GCUGGGAUAGUGAAGCGGUCAAACACAUCAGACUGUAAAUCUGACGGCUUAUGCCUUCGCAGGUUCGAAUCCUGCUCCCAGCACCA